rnacentral:rRNA from 1 species
AAUGAACGCUGGCGGCAGGCCUAACACAUGCAAGUCGAACGGAUCCUUCGGGAUUAGUGGCGGACGGGUGAGUAACGCGUGGGAACAUACCCUUUGGUACGGAAUAGCCUCGGGAAACUGGGAGUAAUACCGUAUGUGCUCUUCGGAGGAAAGAUUUAUCGCCAAAGGAUUGGCCCGCGUUGGAUUAGGUAGUUGGUGGGGUAAUGGCCUACCAAGCCGACGAUCCAUAGCUGGUUUGAGAGGAUGAUCAGCCACACUGGGACUGAGACACGGCCCAGACUCCUACGGGAGGCAGCAGUGGGGAAUCUUAGACAAUGGGGGAAACCCUGAUCUAGCCAUGCCGCGUGAUCGAUGAAGGCCUUAGGGUUGUAAAGAUCUUUCAGUGGGGAAGAUAAUGACGGUACCCACAGAAGAAGCCCCGGCUAACUCCGUGCCAGCAGCCGCGGUAAUCUGAGUCGGAG